UCCGCUAACGGGCAGCCUAGUAGACAUGGCAUCUGCCCGGUAAGCGGAACACUGUGGGUUCGAUUCCCAUCCCUGGAC
rnacentral:tRNA from 1 species